rnacentral:rRNA from 1 species
ACUUAUGGCCAUAUCAAGAGGAAAAUAUUGGUUCUUAUUUGAUAAACAAAGUUAAGCAACAUUGAGCCAAGUUAAUAAUUAGAUGCGUGAGCACUUAGGAAACUUAUAUGCUAUAAGCA